CGACCCUAGAACUGGCCGGUGCGCACGUGCUCGGCGUCCCGGGCUGCGGCAGAGGCGGAGGUGAGCGCGCGGACCGGGCCGGGCCGACGUGCGGCUGCGGGCGGGCUCCCUCGGAGAUACGUGUUUUGAUGAAGCGUCUUGCCGUGCUGGACAGGCCCACGUGGCACGGAAGUAAGGGCCGCCUCUGAGCCACAGCUGGCGGAGCAGUGAGGCCCUCAGUCCAGCAGCCCACAGGGAGCUGAAUCCUGACAACAGCCGUGUGAGCUUGGAAGAAAAUCCCUCCCCAGUCAGGUCUCAGAUGAGACCCCAGCCUUGGCCGGCGCCUUCACUGCAGCCUGUGACACCCCAAAGCAGAGGACACAGCUAAGCUAUGCCUGGAUCCCCAACCCACAGAAAUACUGAGACGGUCUGGUGGGUUAUGUUAAGCCUUCGUUUUAUGCCACUGUGCCCCGGCCCUCUGGAAAGACAGCCAGAAAUACAGAGCAGAAUAAAAGCAGUCGCUUCCUCCCAGACCGUUAGGGGAAGAGAGUCACUGGGAGCGGACGAAAGAUCUGGGAGGAAACCACCAGGGAGUGAGAGCUGAUUCCCUUCGGGAGGAACUGGAGCGGAGAAAACCGGGUGCCCCUGUGAAGUGCUGGGGCCACAGACGGAUUCCCGGGAAUCCAGGGGUAACCAGCGAAGGAGUCCGCUAGCGGGAACGUGGGCCCUCGCGGUGGGGACUCCCUGGGUGCUGCCUGCAAGGACAGAUGACUGCGAGGCGGCCUGGUGGCCGCACACCACCUGUCUUGGCUUCAUGAGCACUCCCUCUUCUACCUGCCUCGAGGACGUAAUCCCAAGGAGAGGACAGACAGAAACCCUGAAAUGAUUGAAAUCAAGUUACCACAAAUACUUGGUGAAAUUGGAGUUCAAAAACAGAGCAAAAUAAAUUUACUUUUCUUGAUCUGGGUCAGAGACAAGCAAAUACGCUACAGGGAAAAGGGGCAUAGAUUACACUGGGGUGUUGGGGGUAUGUGGUCAUGGAAGGCUUCCUGGAGGAGGUGAGGCUGGAUCAAAAAUUGAAGGUUCUUGGGACUUGAAGAACCUGGUGGUGCAGUGGUUAAGACUCACGCUCCCAAUGCAGGGGGCCAGGGUUCAAUCCCUGCUGAGGGAACUGGAUCCCACGUGCAUGCCGCAACUAAGAGUUCGCAUGCCACAACUAAGGAGCCAGUGAGCCGCAACUAAGACCCGGUACAACCAAAUAAAUUAAUUAAUUAGUAUUUAAAACAUUUUGAAGGUUCUUGAUAUGUAUGCACAUUUACAUUUCCACCAGUGUCCGAGAGAUCCUGCUCUAAUCAAGACAGUUCCCUACCCCAGGGAUGUGAAUCCAAGCAUCCCUCAGGUGCUCAGAGCCCUGUGGGAGCGCUUCAGGGGGCUAGUUCCAGAGCCCGCGCUCAUGCCAGGGACUGUGCUCAAGGUGGCUGGUGCUUGGCGCCUGCAGGACCCGCGCUGGCAAUGUUUCUCGCAGACGCCUGGCUGGCCGGCAGG